CAACCCUCGAGCCCCCGUGGCCCGGCGUUGGGGACCUGCCCAGGCAGUCCCCGAAAACCAGUGGCGGACCUGUUCGGGCCCUCUCCUUGCGUAGUAGCAUCAGCCUCGCAUCGUGAGCCGACGGGAUCUCUGGCCUCUAAACCCCCAACAAGCCCGCUCCGGCGGCACCAA
rnacentral:misc_RNA from 1 species